AUUGAACGCUGGCGGCAGGCCUAACACAUGCAAGUCGAGCGAGCGGCGGACGGGUGAGUAAUGUCUGGGAAACUGCCUGAUGGAGGGGGAUAACUACUGGAAACGGUAGCUAAUACCGCAUACCAUCAGAUGUGCCAGGAUGGGUUUAGCUAGUAGGUGGGGUAACGGCUCACCUAGGGGACGAUCCCUAGCUGGUCUGAGUGGAUGACCAGCCCAACUGGAACUGAGACCCGGUCCAGACUCCGACGGGAGGCAGCAGGGGGGAAUAGUGCACAAUGGGCGCAAGCCUGAUGCAGCCAUGCCGCGUGUGUGAAGAAGGCCUUCGGGUUGUAAAGCACUUUCAGCGGGGAGGCGUUACCCGCAGAAGAAGCACCGGCUAACUCCGUGCCAGCAGCCGCGGUAAUAC
rnacentral:rRNA from 1 species